GAUGAACGCUGGCGGCGUGCUUAACACAUGCAAGUCGAACGGAAAGGCCCUGCUCUUGUGGGGUGCUCGAGUGGCGAACGGGUGAGUAACACGUGAGUAACCUGCCCCUGACUUUGGGAUAACUUCAGGAAACUGGGGCUAAUACCGGAUAGGAGCUCCUGCUGCAUGGUGGGGGUUGGAAAGUUUCGGCGGUUGGGGAUGGACUCGCGGCUUAUCAGCUUGUUGGUGGGGUAGUGGCUUACCAAGGCUUUGACGGGUAGCCGGCCUGAGAGGGUGACCGGCCACAUUGGGACUGAGAUACGGACCAGACUCCUACGGGCGGCAGCAGUGGGGAAUAUUGCAGAAUGGGCGGAAGCCUGAUGCAGCAACGCCGCGUGCGGGAUGACGGCCUUCGGGUUGUAAACCGCUUUCGCCUGUGACGAAGCGUGAGUGACGGUAAUGGGUAAAGAAGCAACGGCUAACUACGUG
rnacentral:rRNA from 1 species